UAUCGCCGGUUCUCGUACGAUCACUGAAGUUAAGCAACAUCGAGCCUAGUCAGUGCCUAGAUCGGUGACCUCUUGGGAAUACCAGGCGCAG